GAUGAACGCUGGCGGCGUGCCUAAUACAUGCAAGUCGAGCGAACGGACGAGAAGCUUGCUUCUCUGAUGUUAGCGGCGGACGGGUGAGUAACACGUGGAUAACCUACCUAUAAGACUGGGAUAACUUCGGGAAACCGUAGCUAAUACCGGAUAAUAUUUUGAACCGCAUGGUUCAAAAGUGAAAGACGGUCUUGCUGUCACUUAUAGAUGGAUCCGCGCUGCAUUAGCUAGUUGGUAAGGUAACGGCUUACCAAGGCAACGAUGCAUAGCCGACCUGAGAGGGUGAUCAGCCACACUGGAACUGAGCCGCGGUCCAGACUCCUACGGGAGGCAGCAGUAGGGAAUCUUCCGCAAUGGGCGAAAGGCUGACGGAGCACAGCCGCGUGAGUGAUGAAGGUCUUCGGAUCGUAAAACUCUGUUAUUAGGGAAGAACAUAUGUGUAAGUAACUGUGCACAUCUUGACGGUACCUAAUCAGAAAGCCACGGCUAACUACGUG
rnacentral:rRNA from 1 species